rnacentral:lncRNA from 1 species
GCUGACCCAAGCCUCUCUUUCUCCCCCUUCCAAGAAAUCACAUCAUGAUGCACUGUGAUCGGUGUCGGUCCACCUACCCGCUAGGGGGCGGUGGGGAGCUACGACAUCACUGGCCGGCCUGGGUCAUGCCUCUGCCACUGGGGAAUUAGCAGCGGGAAGGACGCCAGCACAGGAAUCAUACAGCAAUUGAAGGAGGAAGAGAACAUCAACAAGAGCCACUGUGUACAAGAUUAAAUUGGUAGCAGGUACAUUUAAAGGGACAUUGAUGUAAGGGCUUCAUGGAAUCAGUGGAACAGAUCUACAGGCACUCUGAAGCCGGAGGGAGGGGUCUUCAUUCCCCAGAUCUCUGUAGAUCUACCCAGAGCUGGGCCCAGCUAUUCUCUUUUGAGAUAAUUUCCACAAAGCAGAGGUGGAAAACCAUGCUCUGACAGAGAGAAGAAAA